rnacentral:lncRNA from 1 species
GCAGAAUAAGCAUUACUCACAUAACCAUAAUAGGUAGACAUGGGAAAGAAGGGGGAAAAGAAGAAUGCGAUGAAAAUAUGCAACUAAAGCUACCUAAAUGCAACACACAAUGAUGAACACACAAAACGGAACAACACACUCACAACACGAGACAAAACACAACACACACAAACACAACAAAAGACCUAAAACCGAACCGUUAGUCCCCGGCAACAGCGCCAAAAUUUUGAUGGGUGUCGCAGCCCAUACAAAUUUGAUUGCAAAUUAGGAAUGCGGUAUAGCUAGGGAAUGACCCCUAGGUCGUCUCUCAAGGACGAAACUGUGGUUCGAGAAUCAAGUCAAACACGAAGUAGUGAGGGGUUGCGAAAGGUUUGUGAAUGCGGCUGAACUAAAUCAAAACACAGAUGCAAAUAGAAAUGUAAACACAGAUGUAAACAUAAAUGUAAAAACAGAAACGAGUACAAAAUGAAAACGGUUGGUCAUUAACUUAAUCACUAUGCUUCCAAUCACAGAUCAAUGACGAGUACACACUACUCUAAUCCAAAUCCGACACGAAUCACCCAACUAAGCGAAAGCUAAUUCGAUCUUCAAAAUUACAGACUAAGUGAAUGCAAUGCACAAAUUUAAUCAGUCAUCCACCACAUAGUCUAAUCAACUAAGCGAAGAAUUGACACCGAAUAGGAAACUAAGCAUAUACCUAAUCGCAGGCAAACAACAGAUUAAAUAUUGAGCAGAAUCAAGCAGCAGUAUGGCAAUUAAAUUGCAUAAGUCUCAUGAAUAAACUACUCUAGCCUCUAAUCCAGCACAACUACCC